rnacentral:rRNA from 1 species
GACGAACGCUGGCGGCGUGCUUAACACAUGCAAGUCGAACGGAAAGGCCCUGCUUUUGUGGGGUGCUCGAGUGGCGAACGGGUGAGUAACACGUGAGUAACCUGCCCUUGACUUUGGGAUAACUUCAGGAAACUGGGGCUAAUACCGGAUAGGAGCUCCUGCUGCAUGGUGGGGGUUGGAAAGUUUCGGCGGUUGGGGAUGGACUCGCGGCUUAUCAGCUUGUUGGUGGGGUAGUGGCUUACCAAGGCUUUGACGGGUAGCCGGCCUGAGAGGGUGACCGGCCACAUUAGGACUGAGAUACGGCCCAGACUCCUACGGGAGGCAGCGGUGGAGAGUAUUACACAAUGGGCGGAAGCCUGAUGCAGCAACGCCGCGUGCGGGAUGACGGCCUUCGGGUUGUAAACCGCUUUCGCCUGUGACGAAGCGUGAGUGACGGUAAUGGGUAAAGAAGCACCGGCUAACUACGUG